ACGUCAGCAGCGCUGAUCCGGGCCUCCCACGUCAGCAAAGGCGGGGCUGGGCCUGAGCCAGAGCCCUCUCGGCUGCGGCCUGUCCCUGGCACCCCGAGGCUCUGGCCCGCUCCUGCUGGCUCCUGGAGCUUCCAGAGUCUUCUUGAGGAAACCAUCCCGCACUCAGAACUGAGACGGGUUGUCAUCUUCCCAGGCGACCACGUUCCUUUCUGGGCCGCGCAGGAAAAGGGGACCAGAAUGCGGAUAAAGACGCAGAUAACCGAGACCCUAAGCUGAAACCACACCCCAGGAACGGGUCUCCCGUCUACGCUGGUCCCGGUUAGGGGUCUCCUUGCCAACGCCGGACAAAGGAGAAUGGUUUGCUUGUAAAACCACAGUUCAGCAACAGUCCAUGGGAGGGCUAAAGAAUUUACUGGAAGAAAGAAUUGAAAACUCCACACUGGAAAUGUGAGAAUGGAAGCUGGAAUUGGCUUCUUUAAAACGUCAGUGAGAGAGAAAGCCUGCGACGUAGGCACUCGGGCCAGCACAGUGUCCUGGCAGAGGUCGAAAGGGGGCUUUUCCCUCUUGUCUGAGAGCUCGCCGUCCCUCGACCCUGCAGAGAGACGCCCGCAGGGAACGGGCCAUAAACGGGAGAUAAAAGUGCCUGCCGGCGUAGGCUCUGCAUCAACCACCGACAAUAAGCAACAGCGGUCACAGCAAUUACUGUCGACUUGGCCAUGGCCCACUCAGAAGGCGGUGGGGACUUUGCCUUGUCCCCCACCGUGCCUCCAGCCCAGAACCGUCGUUGGCACAGAGCUGCUCAAUCUCUGUUUCGGACACAUCAGUGCACGUGUGAAUUCCUUGUGCCAGACACCACGAUUCACGCUGUCCGUGUGUCACGAUUCCCAGUCUCUUCCGCCCCGAGAAGCAGGUGUGAGCCCCGUUUCACGGACGAGGGAAGCAAAGGCUUGGAGAGGUUGAGGAACUCGCCCGAGGUUUGCAGCCGUUGGGAAGCGCGGCCGCGGUGCAAUUGACCGGGACACCAGCCUCCUCUCUCCAGGCGCUGCCGCCUCUAGCCAGGGUCUCUGGGCAGGUCCAUGGCUCCCCAAGUUCUCCUUUGAAUUGUGAAGGGGACCCCAGAGAUUUCAUGCAAAAUGGCGCGUGUAUCUGCACCUGCACGUGGUGCUGGGAUGAAAGUCCUUGGCCUUCAGGUUUGCAGAGAAACCCAGGAUCAAAAACCGUUUAGGAAUCACUGUUCUAGAACCCUGCUAGAGUACCUAGCAGGAGGGUGAGCAGCCGCCCCUGCGCCCCGGUCAGCCUUGGUUGUACACUGACAACCCCACGUCCUGGGGCCCCCCUGUUGGUGAGGGGCCUGCAGAGCCCGCGGGAGGAUGGAUCGAGUCCGGGCUCCUGGCGCUUCUCUGCCAGCAGGAGAGAACAGCUAAGGGGAGCAGCGAGGAGGGAGGCAGGGACAGCUACGGGCUCCUAGCUGGGGUGGGAAAGGCCUGGGAGGAAGUCCCGGGAGGGGGCUCAGCGGGAGCAUGGGGGGUCGAGGGCAGAGAGCUUUCUGAGGAGUGAAAGGGCGGCCAGAAGCCCACCCUCCCCAAACUCUGCAGCCAAUGUCUGUUUAGAGGAGCACUGGGCCGUGCAGGGAGGACAGUGGACAUUGUGUUCACAUUGCCUUGGCUUCGCGCACAUUUUGUGAGCGACCCUCCCCUCCCAAUGCACGGGGUGGUCUAGGGGUCCCCAGGAACCCCAAGAGCAGGCCCUGCAGACCAGCAGCUCUAGACGGGUUGGACUCUGAGGCCCACAGCGCGUCUCUGGCAGGAGCGUCCCCGGGAGCCUCCCAAAGCCAACUCUCGGAGAGGGGCGUGGGCUGUGCGUCCCCAGGGAGGUGUCCGGGCGCGCUCAUUCCCCAUGGCGGGUGAGGGGCCAGGCGCGGGGUCUGGAUCCCCCAGGCCUCUGCUGCAGCCCCAGGGAGGCCGGCGCCCGGCGACAGAGGGUCAUCAGCCUGCUACGCCACAGAAAGCAAGGGCAGGCUGGCCCGGCCCACUUCCCUCCCUGGCUCAGCGGUGGCAGGACCUCCCGGGAGAGCGCCAGCUUCCCGCAUCCGUGCGCUGCGGGCAGCCCUGCAGCUGGCGCAGCCGUGGACGCACUUGGGGGCUGCCAGGGGGUUGCUGCACAUGCCUCUGCGCCUGCCUUUUGUUUCCUAGGUUCCGGGUGCCCUUGUCCCCGAAGCCCUUAGGAAUGUGUGGCUCUGAGCUCCAGGUGGCUGAGUUCCAGCACCCCCAGGUGCCUUUUGCCCUAAGGACUGAGCAGCCCCAGAAACGACCGCAGGGAGGGAGUCCCAUGUGUGAGUCCUGCCAGGCACAAUGUCCCCAAAGCAAGCCUUCCUUCCCCAAGGCAGCAGCACUUGUCACCCAGGCCCACCGGGGCCCUGUCUUCUAUUUGCGCGGAGCAUGGCCAGGAGGAGCGUGUGUGCAAAGAGCAGAGUGUCACCUCACCUGGGCCAUCUGUGUCAGAGGGCAGGCCCUUUGGAACAUCCGCCUCGGCAUGCCCGGCCUGGCUGCCCGUGGGCGGGACCCAUGGGGUGUGUAAGAAGUAACCGCUGGCGUGGAGAAGGGCCCAGGCGUCUGACCCGCAGGCACAGGCUUUGCCUGCGGAAGGAAGCCGGAGGGCGCUUUGGUGGCGAAACGGCCAACUGUGCUAGGUUAGGUGGUUUUCAGACCUGCGCCCAGAACACAGCUGCAGGGCUCGCUUCCCUGCUCUCAAAGCUCUCCGGGUGCAAAAGACAGCCCCGCCCGCCCGUCCUAGGCCAGCCCUGGGCGUGACGGGUCACCAGGGCACCGGGCUGGGGUUCCGGGAAGAAGCCGGCUUUCAACGUGACUGCACACCACCGUGAAUCACCCUGAUCCGAAUGAGGUGCACGUGGAGAUCGCUGGUUGCCUCAGCGCGGCCCGCGGCUGCCUCAGAGAGCCGCUCGCCGCUGGCAGUUUCAGGGGUGUUGACGGUUUGUGGUUUGGAAACCUGGUGCAAGAGCCUUCUGGAGAUUGCUCGGAGGGCAGUUUCGGCGACGGGGACACCUAACCGUGCUGGCCCGCGGCUUACUUUCCCCUGCCUCCUCCAGGAAGGUAACGUGAGGCCGCGUGUUAAUCGCUUUGCUGAAACAUCUUGAAGUGUUAGGACGGGUAGAGAUGUCAGGGACCCCUCCGGUCCAAGCCUUUCGUCUUACAGAUGAAGAAACUGAGUCCAGGUGAGGUUUAGGGGCUGCCUGGUCUGUGGUGGAGCCCAAGACCGUGACUUGGGUACUCCCGCACGCAGGCACCCUUCGGUUAUUUGCUCAGCACGUUGUCAUCAGGUCUGCUAGAAGAUUCCGAAACAGUGGACCACAGAGCCCUGGCCCUUGGGGAGGAAAGGCUGGGCGGGUCCCAAAACUCAGGGGCAGCAGUGCCCUGACGGAUGGCUAGAAACAAAAUGCCAUCUGGCCACGGGACGAAAUACUAUCCAGCCAUGCAAAGGAGUGGGGGGACUGGCGCACGCCACAGUGUAGACGGACCUUGGAAAGAGUGUGGUAAGUGAGGAAGCCAGUGGCAAAGGUGUCACACGGUGUGUGAUUCCGGUUUACACGUGACGUGCAGAACAAGGCCGCCCUUAGAGACAGAAAGCACAUGCGCGGUUGCCAGGGGCUGGGGGCACAGGGGCAGAUGGCAGUGACCGCUGAUGGGUACACGGUUUCUUUUUGGCGCGAUGGAAAUGAAAUGCUCUGCAAUUAGGCCGUGGUGAUGGCUGCACAACCCUGUGAACGUUCUCAAAACCGCUGAAUUGUACCUCUUAAAAUGGUUAACAGGAGGCUGAUCUGAGGGAAUCUCUGCCCCCCUCAAACCCCUGCUUGGACGCCGGCGUCUGUCCCCUCCUGAAAGGCACACGACACGCAGCAGGCACCACUGGGCUUCGGAGAGCGUGGGCUUUGGAAGUAGAAGGACCUCCCCGGUUCACUGUCUCGCCACGGGAAAGAGCAUGCUCCAGGGAGGCUGCCUUCUCUGACCCGGCCCUCCCUAGGCCCGAGCGUCGAGGUGGGGGUUUCAAAGAGUAAACCGAGCACCGCCCAACUCAAAGCCCAGAGCAACGCGGGCUAGGCCGGCCCCUUUAUCCGUAGCGGGAGCAAGCUGCUUGUCUUCACCUCACCGGUUAUUUGAGCACACAGUAUGGAGCACAGAGACAAACACUCACCUUUUGUUUUCAGGGAUUAAAAAGCAUGUUUAAAAAUAUCUGAAGCCAAAAAGACACUCAGAAGCAACCGUGAGAAACGCAACCUAGAGAACAACUGCAGAAGAGAAAAUGAGAACGACCCACAUCUCUGUUCCGGGCUCUUCAUUGGACAUCUUAUCUAUUUUUAUUUUUUCUAAUACUGCGAUUUUUGACUAAAGCCAUUUUCUAAUGCUGCUGAGGACGUUUUCAGUAUGAGGCAUGAACUCAGGGCAGAUGCGUCAUUUCCAAGGACACGGUUUAACUGGGUGAAUUGUAUUUAGGAGAAGUGAUUUAAAAUGCUACGCGUUGCAUAACUUAGAUGGACUCUCUUUUAUUUUUUUAUAUUUUUAUUUUUUGUAGCUGGGACUACAGGCAUGUGCCACCAAG